rnacentral:misc_RNA from 1 species
GAUGAAGAACGUAGCGAAAUGCGAUACUUGGUGUGAUUUGCAGAAUCCCGUGAACCAUCGAGUCUUUGAACGCAAGUUGCGCCCGAAGCCAUUAGGCCGAGGGCACGCCUGCCUGGGUGUCACACGUCGUUGCCCCCCCAUCUACUCCUUCGGGAUUGCGGGGGGCGGAUGAUGGCCUCCCGUGCGCCUCGUCGCGCGGUUGGCAUAAAUGCCAAGUCCUCGGCGACGCACGCCACGACAAUCGGUGGUUGCGAAACCUCGGUUGCCCGUCGUGUGCGGUCGUCGCGCAUCGAGGGCUCGAAAAAAUUGUCGGGCUCCGGCUCGGCUUUCAACGCGACCCCAGGUCAGGCGGGGUUACCCGCUGAAUUUAAGCAUAUCAAUAAGCGGAGGA